AUGUUCAAGCUGGUUUUAGAAAAGGCAGAGGAACCAGAGAUCAAAUUGCCAACAUCCGCUGGAUCAUGGAAAAAGCAAGAGUUCCAGAAAAACAUCUAUUUCUCCUUUAUUGACUAUUCCAAAGCCUUUGACUGUGUGAAUCACAAUAAACUGUGGAAAAUUCUGAAAGAGAUGGGAGUACCAGAACCCCUAACCUGCCUCUUGAGAAAUCUGUAUGCAGGUCAGGAAGCAACAGUUAGAACUGGACAUGGAACAGACUGGUUACAAAUAGGAAAAAGAGUACGUCAAGGCUAUAUAUGGUCACCCUGCUUAUUUAACUUCUAUGCAGAGUACAUCAUGAGAAAUGCUGGACUGGAAGAAACACAAGCUGGAAUCAAGAUUGCCAGGAGAAAUAACAAUAACCUCAGAUAUGCAGAUGCCACCACCCUUAUGUCAGAAAGUGAAAAGGAACUAAAAAGCCUCCUGAUGAAAGUGAAAGAGCAGAGUGAAACAGUUGACUUAAAGCUCAACAUUCAGAAAACGAAGAUCAUGGCAUCUGGUCCCAUCACUUCAUGGAAAAUAAAUGGGGAAACCAUGGAAACAGUGUCAGACUUUAUUUUGGGGGGCUCCCAAAUCACUGCAGAUGGUGAUUGCAGCCAUGAAAUUAAAAGACACUUACUCCUUGGAAGAAAAGUUAUGACUAACCUAGAUAGCAUAUUCAAAAGCAGAGACAUUACUUUGCCGACUAAGGUCCAUCUAGUCAAGGCUAUGGUUUUUCCUGUGGUCAUGUAUGGAUGCGAGAGUUGGACUGUGAAGAAGGCUGAGCACCGAAGAAUUAAUCCUUUUGAACUGUGGUGUUGGAGAAGACUCUUGAGAGUCCCUUGGACUGCAAGGAGAUCCAACCAGUCCAUUCUGAAGGAGAUCAACCCUGGGAUUUCUUUGGAAGGAAUGAUGCUAAAGCAGAAACUGCAGUGCUUUGUCCACCUCAUGCAAAGAGUUGAUUCAUUUGAAAAGACUCUGAUGCUGGGAGGGAUUGGGGGCAGGAGGAGAAGGGGAUGA
rnacentral:lncRNA from 1 species